rnacentral:rRNA from 1 species
UAUUUUUUUUGUAGUGAUAGGUAUGAAACUCAUUUGAGCGAGAGUAGUACUAGGAUGGGUGACCUCCUGGGAAGCCCUCGUUAAAGAGUUUC